rnacentral:rRNA from 1 species
GCGUUGUCCGGAAUCAUUGGGCGUAAAGAGCGUGUAGGCGGCCCGGUAAGUCCGUUGUGAAAGUCAAGGGCUCAACCCUUGAAUGCCGGCGGAUACUGUCGGGCUAGAGUCCGGAAGAGGCAAGUGGAAUUCCCGGUGUAGCGGUGAAAUGCGCAGAUAUCGGGAGGAACACCUAUGGCGAAGGCAGCUUGCUGGGACGGUACUGACGCUGAGACGCGAAAGCGUG